AAAAAUGUGAAUUUUCGUGUCAAGUUUCGGGACGAAACUUCUUUUAAGAGGGGUAGAUUGUAAUCCCCCGUAAUUUUAUUAUAUUUUAAUUAUAUACUUUAACGUAUAUUUAGUAUAUUUAAAUGUAAAUUUACGAAUUUUAGAAAUGAAUAUGUAAUUGAAAUAUAAUUAUGUUAUUACAUUUUGAAUAUUUUAAAUGAUUUACGAAAUCAAAGGUAUUUUUGAAUUUUACGUUGAAACGGAUUCGAAUUUUGAAAUCACGUUCUAUUGGAAUUAGAAAGCAAAUCCCGAUUACUAUUCCUAGCCCAAUUGGGCAAAGCCCAAACCAACAAAACCCAUAUGACCAUACUCCUUUCUCUUUUCUAAUUCAUGUAAAACAAAAAAAAAAUAAAACCCUAUUCUCUUUCUCCUUCCUCAUUCACGUGAAAACCAAAAAAAAAAAAAAAAGGGAGAAAGCCCACACGCAACUCAGCUCUCCUUCCCUCCCGCUGCUCGCCGCCCAGCCGACCACCAUCAACGCAACCAGUGACUCAAGGCCGACCACCGCACGCGACCGUGCUCAGCCCUGCCGCGAGCCACCGCUGUCCGCCGGCCAGCCCCCCUUAAACUCUUGAAUUGGCGGAGAAUUCUCUUUAGGCGACUUUUGAAAGUGUUAAGGUGGCCUAUCAGUUUGUUUACACAAGUCUCUAAGGAUCAAUAAGCGUUGCCCAUCUACAGGUUUGAAGAUGAUGCAUCAUUGGGAUCGGGAUUAGAGAGCUUGUAGUUCUAUUCGGUUAAUUAAGUGAUUUAAUUUGUUAACCUGGAUUUGAAAUUUGUCGUACUAUUCGUAUUUCCUUAAUUCAGUUAAUUGGUUUGGACCUAAUAUGUAAUAGCUUAUUUAUGAACCUAAAAGUUAGUUUAUGUUUUCCGCUGCAAAAUUCUGAAUAAGCCGUAACGUUUUCACACGGGCGAUAAUACUUUGAUAAUUCCCUACAGUUAUAUUU